rnacentral:rRNA from 1 species
UACGUAGGGACCGAGCGUUGUCCGGAUUCAUUGGGCGUAAAGAGCUCGUAGGCGGCUGUUCAAGUCGAACGUGAAAACUCGGAGCUCAACUCCGAGCCUGCGUUCGAUACUGGACGGCUAGAGUCUGGUAGGGGGAUCUGGAAUUCCUGGUGUAGCGGUGGAAUGCGCAGAUAUCAGGAGGAACACCGGUGGCGAAGGCGGUUCUCUGGGACGGUACUGACGCUGAGACGCGAAAGCGUGGGGGAGCGAACAGG